UAAGGAAUAUUGGUCAAUGGACGCAAGUCUGAACCAGCCAUGCCGCGUGAAGGAUGAAGGCCCUCUGGGUUGUAAACUUCUUUUAUCUGGGACGAAAAACGGACUUUCUAGUUCACUUGACGGUACCAGAGGAAUAAGCACCGGCUAACUCCGUGCCAGCAGCCGCGGUAAUACGGAGGGUGCAAGCGUUAUCCGGAUUUACUGGGUUUAAAGGGUGCGUAGGUGGGUAGGUAAGUCAGUGGUGAAAUCUUCAAGCUUAACUUGGAAACUGCCAUUGAUACUAUUUAUCUUGAAUACUUUGGAGGUAAGCGGAAUAUGUCAUGUAGCGGUGAAAUGCUUAGAUAUGACAUAGAACACCAAUUGCGAAGGCAGCUUACUACACAGUUAUUGACACUGAGGCACGAAAGCGUGGGGAUCAAACAGGAUUAGAUACCCCCGUAGUCC
rnacentral:rRNA from 1 species